UAUAUAUAUAUAUACCUCUAUAUACAACAUGCUUGCAAGAACCAACCUAACUUCUAUCUCUCUCAAUAUCAUCAUAUGUAUAUAUAUAUAUACACACACACACACCAUCCCUUUGUUUUUUAUUACCCUUUGUUGAGCUUGCUAAUGAUCUUGUCAGAAACGGACUCGAUAUAUUGAAGAAGGAAAAGAGGGUGUCUGGAAUGAAGUUUGAUCCGAAAUCAUUGUCUCAGUUUCAUUUUUACCUUUGCCUAUAUUGUGUGUGUGUGUGAGAGAGAGAGAGAGAGAUUUCAUCUGUGAUGGAAAGGGGGUGUUUGGAAUGAGGUUUGAUCCAAGAUCAUCACAUAUACCUUCAAUUUUCCCUUGUUUUUGCUUGUUGAUUUACCUUCAUAGAUUUGUUUAUGAUCACUUCAUGCAUGGGAUGGGACUGAUCUCGGACCAGGCUUCAUUCCUCACACCUACCUUUCCUUGUAGAAGCAAAUCAACCACAACAAGACAAAGACAAAGGACACAUUCAUGUUUUGUAUGAAUGAAACUUUGACAUGAUGAAUGAUAUACAUCAUAAAGGUUGACAUCCAUUUUUGGGAAUUAUUGGCACAAACCCUGCUGCUGAAACAAGACAAUAAGACAAGUGAAGUUCCCUCCAUCGUUCAAUACUGCCCCUGCUUUUCCCCCAUUAACUGUAGCCACACAAAAGGUUAAUCACUUCAUACAUACAUCUUACAUACUUAUUCUGCAUAUCUUUUGUAUAUGUAUGUGCAUGCCUUAACAUGUAGAUCAGGAUAUAAAAUUAACAUCGCACAUACAUGCACAUUGUUAUUUCUUCUUGCAUUACUCUAUGUUAAUUGACAAAUAACAGUUUUCCAAAGUGUUACAAGGAACUCAUCAUAGUUAGAAGCAUUGGUUAUAUAUAUAUAUGCAGAAUUCAUUCUAUAGUAUCACAUAGGGGUACAUAGGUAGAAGAAUCUCGCUGUCUUCUUGCUCUAUGUUUGUGAGCGAUAUUCAGAUUCCUUGGAAUAUAUCAUAUAAUAUUUGGUUUUCUUAAAAAGUAUUUGUAUAAUAUAUUGGAUUUAUUUUAUGGGAAAUGUCAGCAAGUUGAAUGCAUGCUUGAUAUGGAUAAAUUAAUAUUUUACUGAAUUCUAUGAAUUCUAUGAUUAUUUUUUUUGUUGAUUUGGUAUUAUACUGUAUGGAACAACAUUAAAACUUGUUCUUUAAGCGCGUGGUAAAAGCUAGUAUGCCACGUGACAAAGAACCAUAUCAUUGCAAAGUUAUGGCGUGAAGUGAGUUAAAAACUGAAGUAACUUUUAACCUACACCACAUGAAAAUUUGAUGUACACAGUUAUUGAAUAGCUUAUGGUACAACUUAACUUAUUCUUCCUUUUUCUA